rnacentral:rRNA from 1 species
UACGAAGGGGGCUAGCGUUGCUCGGAAUCACUGGGCGUAAAGGGUGCGUAGGCGGGUCUUUUAAGUCAGGGGUGAAAUCCUGGAGCUCAACUCCAGAACUGCCUUUGAUACUGAAGAUCUUGAGUUCGGGAGAGGUGAGUGGAACUGCGAGUGUAGAGGUGAAAUUCGUAGAUAUUCGGAGGAACACCAGUGGCGAAGGCGGCUCACUGGCCCGGUACUGACGCUGAGGUGCGAAAGCGUGGGGGAGCAAACAGGG